UACAACGUAGCGCUAAUGCAUUGGAUCCCAUUAGAACUCUGUAGUUAAGUGCGCUCAAGCUAGAGUAGUAUUGGGAUGGGUAGCCAUCCGGGAAUUUCUAGUGUUUUAA
rfam:Picea glauca, whole genome shotgun sequence.